UUCCAUCGGGCGGUCGCGCCGCUAGGGAUUGCUGUUAUCGAAUCUUUCCCAUCGCGCGGCCGCGCCGCCACCGAGAAGCGGAGAAGGGAAGGGGACGCCCGGACAGGGAGGCAUCGAUCUACGGACCACGGACAUGUUGCCGGAAGACUUAACGCACUGAUGAGCGGCAAAAACACAAGGGGAAAAAGACAGUAGACAUGAAGAGGAAGAAAGCGGAAUUGAUUCAAGAUCCCAACCAUCGAAACAUGAUGCCACUGCAAACGACGUGCAACCUACCGAAGGGGAGCAGCCUAAUCCGAACUAAGUCUAAAGAUUUUUCUUGAUGUCAUGAGCUUGCUGGCUUGGAGCAGGAUGAAUACAGAUGAAAGAGGGGA